UACGUAGGUGGCAAGCGUUGUCCGGAGUUAUUGGGCGUAAAGCGCGCGCAGGCGGUUCCUUAAGUCUGAUGUGAAAUCUCGCGGCUCAACCGCGAGCGGCCAUUGGAAACUGGGGAACUUGAGUGCAGGAGAGGGGAGCGGAAUUCCACGUGUAGCGGUGAAAUGCGUAGAGAUGUGGAGGAACACCAGUGGCGAAGGCGGCUCUCUGGCCUGUAACUGACGCUGAAGCGCGAAGGCGUGGGGAGCGAACAGGAUUAGAAACCCGGGUAGU
rnacentral:rRNA from 1 species